GUGGGGUGUAUGGUUUUAUGGGGUGUAUGGUGUUGUGAGGUGUAUGGUGUUAUGGGGUGUAUGGUGUUGUGGGUGUAUGGUAUUGUGGGUGUAUGGUGUUAUGGUGUUGUGGGGUGUAUGGUUUUAUGGGGUGUAUGGUGCUAUGGGGUGAAUGGUUUUAUGGGGUGUAUGGUGUUGUGGCGUGUAUGGUGUUUUGGGGUGUAUGGUGUUAUGGGGUGUAUGGUGUUAUAGGGUGUAUGGUGUUAUGGGUGUAUGGUGUUAUGGGGUGUAUGGUGUUAUAGGGUGUAUGGUGUAUGGUGUUGUGGGGUGUAUGGUGUAAUGGGGUGUAUGGUUUUAUGGUGUUGUGAGGUGUAUGGUGUUAU
ensembl:lncRNA